GCUGUCCUUGCUGCCUUCCUUGUGUGGUACCCACAUUUCUUUUAGAUGUUUCCCACCUUUUCCGUCUUGAAGACAGUGAAAAGAAUGUUAGAUGACUUGGUUUUCCUUGUGUAUCUUACAUUAAAUUCAGUACUGUUUGGUAAAUCAACCGCUGUUUGCCUAUAGUAAGCCAUGCAUGGCUCGGUCUUUGAUGUAAAUGCAGGACUUCGCUGAUUCCAUGUCUAUACUUCUCUGAGGCUAUGGAAGCCAGGUCAAGGAAGGACACAUGAGUUCAAGCCGAUUUUACAACUGUAAGUCAAGAAUAGCAUCAUUUUUCAUCUGUGAAAUCAGACAGUCUCCCAGUAUAAAAAUCUCUGUCACUAUCUCUCACAAAUGCAAAGCAGGAAGAAACAUCUAUAACAGAGCAUGCCCUCUGUGACAGACUCCUGAUCCCCUUCUCUUCUGCCUCGGUGGAGUAGCUAUGUUCUCCU
rnacentral:sRNA from 1 species